rnacentral:rRNA from 1 species
UACGGGGGGAGCAAGCGUUGUUCGGAUUUACUGGGCGUAAAGGGCGCGUAGGCGGCCACCGCAAGUCGACUGUGAAAUCUCCGGGCUUAACCCGGAAAGGUCAGCCGAUACUGCGGGGCUAGAGUGCAGAAGGGGCAACUGGAAUUCUCGGUGUAGCGGUGAAAUGCGUAGAUAUCGAGAGGAACACCUGCGGCGAAGGCGGGUUGCGGGGCUGACACUGACGCUGAGGCGCGAAAGCUAGGGGAGCGAACGGG